CUGAGACAUCCUAGAAAUGUCAGCUAGGCAGCUGGAUAGAGGGACCAACGUCCAGGGGAGCAGCUGGGUGGGACGUGUGAAUUUGGGAGUCAUCAGCAUAAAGAUGGUAUUUGAGGCCGUGAUCCUGCACGAGAUCACUGAGGGAGUGUGGACAGGGAAGAGAACCUAGGCUGCUCAGAUCAAGAGGUCAGGGAGAUGAGGAGGAAUGACCGGGGAGGCCAGAGGAGAACCGGACAAGGGCGUGUCCCGGAGUGGAGGAGGGGGCUGGACUCUGUCAGCGCUGCUGAUUGAGCAGGAGGAAGAGGGCUGAGGGCUGCCCAGCCAGUGGAGAACAGCGUGGCAUCGCUAAGGACUGCCCUUGGCCAGAGCAGUUCGGGGACGCAGUGGGAGCAAAAGUCUAACGGGUUCAAGAAAGGGAAGGAGGACAGAAGUUGGAGAGUGUGGCAGAGACACCCGCUUGUCAGCUGACGGGAACGAGCCAGUGGAGAAGGAGGCAGGAUGAUGGAGCUGGGGCGGGUGAGGGCGAUGAUGAGCCGCCAAUUAUCAGCGACUACGCUGGGUCGGCUGGGUCUCGGGAGAGGUCCUCCCGCCCCCCUCCCAGCUGCAGGCCCCCUUAAGUGUUCGAAGGAAAGAGGAGGGUGGUUCUCUCCUGCUGCUGAACUUACCCAUUUGUGGGCACGCUCAGCAGCAAAGGGUUUGGAAUAUUCGAAAAACAGAAAAGGCAGGGGUGGCUGCCUCCAGGUCCUUUGUUCUGGUAUUCCCUCUACCUAGAAUGCUCUUCCCCCAGUCCUUCAAAAAGCUGGCUUCUUGCAGUUUGGGCCUCAGCUGGAGACGGUCAGAGAGGCCUUCCCUGGCGCUGAGCUGAAGGAGGCUGCCCGAUGGCCCUCUCCGAAAGCCUCUUCACUGUGGUGACGCUCAGCGGGCUCUGACAGUGCCUUGCUUCUCACUUGCGUGCACCGUGCCACCGUCCCGCACUAGAGCGUAAGCUGCGCGAGGUGGGGACCGUGACUCCGGGCCACCCCCGGAGUGGUAUGUGGCCCAUACCACCAGAGGUAUUCUGGCACAGAGCAGGCCUUCAGUAUGUGUUGCGGGAUGAAUAAGGAGCCCCUGGUCAGAAGAUGAUAAGAGAGGGGCACUGUGCUGAUGUCACCAGGCUGCAGAGCAUGGGGACUUCUCCUUAACCUGGCACACCCCAGGG